rnacentral:rRNA from 1 species
AGUUAAAUAAUUAUUUUUUAUAAAAAUUUAUUUUUAAAUAAAAUAAGAAAGUUAUUGUUUUAUUAAUAAAAAGAAAAAAUUUAUUUUAUUAUAGUUAAUUAGUAUUGAAAAAGAAUUUAAAAAAUUAUAAAAAAUAAAAAUUAAUUUUUUGUACCUUGUGCAUCAGGGUUUAUUAAAAUAAAUUAAAAAUUUAAUUAUUUCGAAGUUAAAAGAGCUAAAAGAAUAUAUUUUUUAUUGUGUAAUAACUAUUAUAAAUAUUUUUUUAGUAAUGAAAUGUUAAUCGUUUUUAAAUAUAUCUAAUUUUUUAAGAAAUAAAUUUAAUUUAUUUAUUAUUAAUAAAAUUUUUUAUAUAUAAGGUUUUAUUAGUAAUAUUAAAUAUUUUUAGGGAUGAGCUUAAAAAUUUAUUAUUAUUAAUUUAUAAAAAAAUAUGAAAUUGUAGGAUUAGAAUUUUUUAUCAAUAAUAAAAUGUUAAAAUUAAUUCAUAUAUUAAUAUUAUUUUUAUAGAUUAUAAAUUUUUUAUUAAAAUAUUAAUUUUAUUAAUAAAAAUUAAGUAAUAAUGAUAAAAUUAGUAUAAUUUUAUGUUGCAUGUAUUUUUUAUUUAGGUUAAGUAAAGGAAUUCGGCAAAUUAUUUUUUACCUGUUUAUUAAAAACAUGUCCUUUUGAUUAUAAUAUAAGGUCUGGCCUGCCCACUGAGUAUUUGAAUGGCCGUGGUAUUUUGACCGUGCUAAGGUAGCAUAAUCAUUAGUUUUUUAAUUAAAAACUGGAAUGAAGGGUUAGAUAAGAAAAUAACUGUCUCUAUUUAAAUUUAUUAGAAUUUUAUUUUUAAGUUAAAAAGCUUAAUUAUUAUUAAAAGACGAGAAGACCCUAUAGAGUUUAAUUAUAGAAUAUAUUUUUUAUUUUAGUAUUUAUUUAUUAAUUUUUUUUAUAAUUUAAUUGGGGUGAUUAAAAAAUUUAGUAAACUUUUUUUGUAUUUUAACAUUAAUUUAUGAGUUAUUGAUCCAAUAGUUUUGAUUAUAAGAUAAAAUUACCUUAGGGAUAACAGCGUAAUUUUUUUAGAAAGUUCAAAUUGAAAAAAAAGAUUGCGACCUCGAUGUUGGAUUAAAAUUAAUUUUUGGUGUAGAAGCUAAAAAAUUGGGUCUGUUCGACCUUUAAAAUUUUACAUGAUCUGAGUUUAAACCGGUGUGAGCCAGGUUGGUUUCUAUCUUUAAUUAGUUAAAAUAUUUUAGUACGAAAGGACCAAAUAUUAAAUUAAUAAUUUAUAUUUUUUUUGAAUUAUAAU